AAAAAUGGCUGGGUUAUUUUUUAACCCAAAAUGCUGGGUUGAGUCUGUUGGGUUGUUUUGCUGGGUUAUUUUUUUACAUUUUAAACACUUUUUGGGUAGUUUCAGUUUUCUAGGUGUUGGGUUAAAACUGCUGGGUUAUUAUGUUGGGUUGUUUGAAGAGGCUCAUGUGCUUCGCGCCCUUGAUGUUUGAAUGUGCUCAGCAACGGUCCUCGUGAAAGGACAGAGUCACUGGAAGCAGUUGUUUCAAGAGUGUGCAGAGUUUUAACGUCCAUCCAUUGAUGAGGCUAGCAAGACCUUCAUACAACUUCAGCCAAUUGCAACAAAUGUGGUGGAAUUUCUUCUCUGGACAGAAUCCUCGAAACCCUUUCCUUUCGUCCUGGCCAUGGGAAACAUGCAGCAGACCUCUCAAUCUUUUUUCUCAAUCAGUCUCUCUGAAUACGGAAGUGACUUAAACUGCAAUUCGGCCAAGAUGGCGAUGGCACGCACCGCCUACUUUAAGCUUCAAAAAUGCUCUUCACAAACCAAUGGGUGACGUCACAGACACUACUUGCAUAUUUUUUACAGUCUCUGAUUUAAAGGCAUUUUAAGUGCUUUAAAAUAAAUACCCCAGGCAAUGUGCUUCUAUGGGAAUUCCUGUAGUCUGUCAUUUUUCAAAUGGAUGAAUCAGCUUUGUACAUCUUUGUUCG